rnacentral:piRNA from 1 species
UAGAUUCUGGGAAUGGGAGUUGUCUACUUG